GGUGAAGUCGUAACAAGGUAACCGUAGGGGAACCUGCGGUUGGAUCACCUCCUUACCUUAAAGAAGC
rnacentral:rRNA from 31 species